UUUGGGUUCCCAUUCUGACAGCCGGCAAAAUAGCGUGGGUGAUGUCCCCUUACCAGGAGAAGUGCUGAAUGUCGGGAUCAGAGGGUUCCGUGGUAGAUGAGGAUGGAAUGUUGGGAUCGGAGGGUUCCGUGGUAGCUGGGGAUGGAAUGUCGGGAUCAGAGGGUUCCGUGGUAGCUGGGGAUGGAAUGUCGGGAUCAGAGGGUUCCGUGGUAGCUGGGGAUGGAAUGUCGGGAUCAGAGGGUUCCGUGGUAGCUGGGGAUGGAAUGUCGGGAUCAGAGGGUUCCGUGGUAGCUGGGGAUGGAAUGUCGGGAUCAGAGGGUUCCGUGGUAGCUGGGGAUGGAAUGUCGGGAUCAGAGGGUUCCGUGGUAGCUGGGGAUGGAAUGUUGGGAUCAGAGGGUUCCGUGGUAGCUGGGGAUGGAAUGUUGGGAUCAGAGGGUUCCGUGGUAGCUGGGGUUGGAAUGUUGGGAUCAGAGGGUUCUGUGACAGCUGGGAAGGAACAGAUAGGAGAGAACAGUUCUGACUGGUAGCUGGGAAUAGGCAUCUGGAGUGAGAAGGAAAAGUGUGAAUUAAGUGUAGUGAGAGCCCUGUCUAUACUACAGUGUCCAUUUCCAGAGCUGCGCGGGUGGUUAAUGAUGGCUGUGCAGUCUGCUGUUGUGGGCCAGG